rnacentral:rRNA from 1 species
AUUGAACGCUGGCGGCAGGCCUAACACAUGCAAGUCGCACGAGAGGCGGACGUGUGAGUCAUGUCUGGGAAAAUUACUGGUGGAGGGGGAUAAGUACUGGAAACUGUAACUAAUACCGUCUACCUUAGGCUGUGCCCAGAUGGGAUUAUCUUGUUGUGUGGGUAACGGCUAACCAAGGCGACGAUCCCUAGCUGGUCUGAGAGGAUUCCCAGGCACACUGGAACUGAGACACGGGCCAGACUCCUACGGGAGGCAGCAGUGGGGAAUAUUGCAAAAUGGGCGAAAGCCUGAUGCAGCCAUGCCGCGUGUAUGAAGAAGGCCUUCGGGUUGUAAAGCACUUUCAGCUGGGAGGCGUUACCCGCAGAAGAAGCACCGGCUAACUCCGUGCCAGCAGCCGCGGUAAUAC